rnacentral:lncRNA from 1 species
UCAGUUGGAGCCAGAGAUGGAGGAGAAAGUGUUGAAGAUGGGGUAGGAGCUGGAGUUGGUGCUGCAGAGGGAGUCGGUGAUGGGGUUGGAGUAGCCUUUGGCGACGGAGUUGGUGCCGCUUUUGGUGACGGAGUUGGCGCUGCUUUUGGUGCCGGAGUUGGUGAAGCUCCAGGUGCCUGUGCCAUGGAAGAAGCGGCCAAGAGACCCAAGAUAAAGAAAACUUUAACCAUGCAAGAACCCAUCUUCAUCUUUACGCCAACUUUCAGAGAAAAAGAAGAAAGCUUAAUCUUGUAGAGUAUUGAGGAGCGAAGAAGACGAGAA